GAUGAACGCUGGCGGCGUGCCUAAUACAUGCAAGUCGAGCGAACAGACGAGGAGCUUGCUCCUCUGACGUUAGCGGCGGAAGGGUGAGUAACACGUGGAUAACCUACCUAUAAGACUGGGAUAACUUCGGGAAACCGGAGCUAAUACCGGAUAAUAUAUUGAACCGCAUGGUUCAAUAGUGAAAGACGGUUUUGCUGUCACUUAUAGAUGGAUCCGCGCCGCAUUAGCUAGUUGGUAAGGUAACGGCUUACCAAGGCAACGAUGCGUAGCCGACCUGAGAGGGUGAUCGGCCACACUGGAACUGAGACACGGUCCAGACUCCUACGGGAGGCAGCAGUAGGGAAUCUUCCGCAAAGGGCGAAAGCCUGACGGAGCAACGCCGCGUGAGUGAUGAAGGUCUUCGGAUCGUAAAACUCUGUUAUUAGGGAAGAACAAAUGUGUAAGUAACUAUGCACGUCUUGACGGUACCUAAUCAGAAAGCCACGGCUAACUACGUG
rnacentral:rRNA from 1 species